rnacentral:rRNA from 1 species
CGCUGGCGGCGUGCCUAAUACAUGCAAGUCGAACGGUCUUUCUAUGGAAGCUUGCUUCCACUGAGAAGAUAGUGGCGAACGGGUGAGUAACACGUGGGUAACCUGCCCAUAAGAGGGGGAUAACAUCCGGAAACGGGUGCUAAUACCGCAUAGUUUUUCUUGAUCGCAUGAUUGAGAAAGGAAAGACGGCCUUUGUGCUGUCGCUUAUGGAUGGACCCGCGGCGUAUUAGUUAGUUGGUGAGGUAACGGCUCACCAAGACGAUGAUACGUAGCCGACCUGAGAGGGUGAUCGGCCACAUUGGGACUGAGACACGGCCCAAACUCCUACGGGAGGCAGCAGUAGGGAAUCUUCCGCAAUGGACGAAAGUCUGACGGAGCAACGCCGCGUGAGUGAAGAAAAGGUUUUCGGAUCGUAAAACUCUGUUGUCAGAGAAGAACAAGUUGGAGAGUAACUGCUCCAGCCUUGACGGUAUCUGACCAGAAAGCCACGGCUAACUACGUGCCAGCCGCAGC